CCUACGGGAGGCAGCAGUGAGGAAUAUUGGUCAAUGGGCGGGAGCCUGAACCAGCCAAGUAGCGUGAGGGAUGACGGCCCUAUGGGUUGUAAACCGCUUUUGCCGGGGAGCAAAGUGCCGCACGUGUGCGGUUUGGAGAGUACACGGAGAAAAAGCAUCGGCUAAUUCCGUGCCAGCAGCCGCGGUAAAACGGAGGAUGCGAGGGUUAUCCGGAUUUAUUGGGUUAAAGGGGUGCGUAGGCGGACGCUUAAGUCAGCGGUAAAAUUGCGGGGCUCAACCUCGUCGAGCCGUUGAAACUGGGUUCCUUGAGUGAGCGAGGGGUACGCGGAAUUCGUGGUGUAGCGGUGAAAUGCUUAGAUAUCACGCAGAACUCCGAUUGCGAAGGCA
rnacentral:rRNA from 1 species